GGGAGAUACCAUGACCCUCACAGCCAAAUGCAUCUUCGACAUAAUAUUGACGCACAUUGGCGGGUCAACAAGAUUCCUGCUGUCUGCAAGAUGCGGGCUAGUGAA
rnacentral:rRNA from 1 species